rnacentral:rRNA from 1 species
UACGUAGGGGGCAAGCGUUGUCCGGAUUUAUUGGGCGUAAAGAGCGUGUAGGCGGCUUUACAGGUCCGUUGUGAAAACUCGAGGCUCAACCUCGAGACGCCGGUGGAAACCGUAAGGCUAGAGUCCGGAAGAGGAGAGUGGAAUUCCUGGUGUAGCGGUGAAAUGCGCAGAUAUCAGGAAGAACACCCGUGGCGAAGGCGGCUCUCCGGGACGGUACUGACGCUGAGACGCGAAAGCGUGGGGAGCGAACAGG